rnacentral:lncRNA from 1 species
GGAAAUCCUGACGGAGUUAGAAGCCAAAAGUGAAACCAGGCAGGAAAAUUACUGGCUGAUUCAGUAUCAACGGCUUUUGAACCAGAAGCCCUUGUCCUUGAAGCUGCAAGAAGAGGGGAUGGAGCGCCAGCUGGUGGCCCUCCUGGAGGAGCUGUCGGCUGAGCACUACCUGCCCAUCUUUGCGCACCACCGCCUCUCACUGGACCUGCUGAGCCAAAUGAGCCCAGGGGACCUGGCCAAGGUGGGCGUCUCAGAAGCUGGCCUGCAGCACGAGAUCCUCCGGAGAGUCCAGGAACUGCUGGAUGCAGCCAGGAUCCAGCCAGAGCUGAAACCACCAAUGGGUGAGGUCGUCACCCCUACGGCCCCCCAGGAGCCUCCUGAGUCUGUGAGGCCAUCCGCUCCCCCUGCAGAGCUGGAGGUGCAGGCCUCAGAGUGUGUCGUGUGCCUGGAACGGGAGGCCCAGAUGAUCUUCCUCAACUGUGGCCACGUCUGCUGCUGCCAGCAGUGCUGCCAGCCACUGCGCACCUGCCCGCUGUGCCGCCAGGACAUCGCCCAGCGCCUCCGCAUCUACCACAGCAGCUGAGUGCUGCCCGCCCACCUGGGCCUGGUCCUAGCCCUGCCUCGGCCACUGUGAGCCCCGGGCUCCUGCUCAGCCUUGUGCCAGCCAGACUCGUAUGAGGCUCCCCCCUGCCCUGGGCCCCUUCCCCACUGCCCAGGAGCCCCCAUCCUAAGCUCCAAGCAUGUCUGGGCCAGGCAGAGGUGCUCCUCAUCCAUGACACCACCAGUCUGAAUGGUCCUGGGGGCUGGGGCUGGAGAGGCCGCUGCACCACCACCCGAGCCUGGGAGCCAGCGUCCCAGCCUAAUCACGGAUCUGCUGCCUCCCAGCUGUCUUGACUGAAGGCCACCGCCCCUGCAGGAGCUUGGGUCCUCAUCUGGGGGCCAUGCACAGGCCCGUCCCACCCUGCAUGUGGGAAGGGAGCAGGAGGGCCUGGCUGGGUGAGGGGAGGCCUUCCUGGGAAGGCGUGUGGUGCAGGCCUGUGCUCACAGUGGCACCAGCAACCCUGGGUCUCCCUCUCUGCUGCUCCCCAGAACCCCGGGGCCCUCCUGCUCUCCACAACUGUCCCUCCUUACCCCAUGUAGCUCGAUCCGAAGCAGGAGUGUCAAUAAACCUGUCUUCAGUGCGCU